UCAACUGAUUUGAAGAGCUUGCUCAGAUAUGACGAUGGACAUUGCAAAGAGUGGCGAACGGGUGAGUAACACGUGGGAAACCUACCUCUUAGCAGGGGAUAACAUUUGGAAACAGAUGCUAAUACCGUAUAACAAUGACAACCGCAUGGUUGUUAUUUAAAAGAUGGUUCUGCUAUCACUAAGAGAUGGUCCCGCGGUGCAUUAGCUAGUUGGUAAGGUAAUGGCUUACCAAGGCGAUGAUGCAUAGCCGAGUUGAGAGACUGAUCGGCCACAAUGGGACUGAGACACGGCCCAUACUCCUACGGGAGGCAGCAGUAGGGAAUCUUCCACAAUGGGCGAAAGCCUGAUGGAGCAACGCCGCGUGUGUGAUGAAGGGUUUCGGCUCGUAAAACACUGUUGUAAGAGAAGAAUGACAUUGAGAGUAACUGUUCAAUGUGUGACGGUAUCUUACCAGAAAGGAACGGCUAAAUACGUGCCAGCAGCCGCGGUAAUACGUAUGUUCCAAGCGUUAUCCGGAUUUAUUGGGCGUAAAGCGAGCGCAGACGGUUAUUUAAGUCUGAAGUGAAAGCCCUCAGCUCAACUGAGGAAUUGCUUUGGAAACUGGAUGACUUGAGUGCAGUAGAGGAAAGUGGAACUCCAUGUGUAGCGGUGAAAUGCGUAGAUAUAUGGAAGAACACCAGUGGCGAAGGCGGCUUUCUGGACUGUAACUGACGUUGAGGCUCGAAAGUGUGGGUAGCAAACAGGAUUAGAUACCCUGGUAGUCCACACCGUAAACGAUGAGUGCUAGGUGUUUGAGGGUUUCCGCCCUUAAGUGCCGCAGCUAACGCAUUAAGCACUCCGCCUGGGGAGUACGACCGCAAGGUUGAAACUCAAAGGAAUUGACGGGGACCCGCACAAGCGGUGGAGCAUGUGGUUUAAUUCGAAGCAACGCGAAGAACCUUACCAGGUCUUGACAUCCCUUGACAACUCCAGAGAUGGAGCGUUCCCUUCGGGGACAAGGUGACAGGUGGUGCAUGGUUGUCGUCAGCUCGUGUCGUGAGAUGUUGGGUUAAGUCCCGCAACGAGCGCAACCCUUAUUACUAGUUGCCAGCAUUCAGUUGGGCACUCUAGUGAGACUGCCGGUGACAAACCGGAGGAAGGUGGGGAUGACGUCAAAUCAUCAUGCCCCUUAUGACCUGGGCUACACACGUGCUACAAUGGCGUAUACAACGAGUUGCCAACCCGCGAGGGUGAGCUAAUCUCUUAAAGUACGUCUCAGUUCGGAUUGUAGGCUGCAACUCGCCUACAUGAAGUCGGAAUCGCUAGUAAUCGCGGAUCAGCACGCCGCGGUGAAUACGUUCCCGGGUCUUGUACACACCGCCCGUCACACCAUGAGAGUUUGUAACACCCAAAGCCGGUGGGGUAACCUUCGGGAGCCAGCC
rnacentral:rRNA from 1 species